rnacentral:rRNA from 1 species
AUACGGAGGGAGCGAGCGUUAAUCGGAAUUACUGGGCGUAAAGGGCGCGUAGGCGGGAAGUCAAGUUAGGGGUGAAAGGCCUGGGCUCAACCUAGGAACUGCCUCUAAAACUGGCUAUCUAGAGUCCGGGAGAGGAUGGCGGAAUUCCCAGUGUAGAGGUGAAAUUCGUAGAUAUUGGGAAGAACACCAGUGGCGAAGGCGGCCAUCUGGUCCGGCACCGACGCUGAGGCGCGAAAGCGUGGGGAGCAAACAGGAUUAGAAACCCCAGUAGUCC